rnacentral:rRNA from 1 species
UACGUAGGGUGCGAGCGUUGUCCGGAAUUAUUGGGCGUAAAGAGCUCGUAGGCGGCUUGUCGCGUCGGAUGUGAAAGCCCGGGGCUUAACUCCGGGUCUGCAUUCGAUACGGGCAGGCUAGAGUUCGGUAGGGGAGAUCGGAAUUCCUGGUGUAGCGGUGAAAUGCGCAGAUAUCAGGAGGAACACCGGUGGCGAAGGCGGAUCUCUGGGCCGAUACUGACGCUGAGGUGCGAAAGCGUGGGGAGCAAACAGG